UCCUACGGGAGGCAGCAGUGGGGAAUAUUGGGCAAUGGGCGAAAGCCUGACCCAGCAACGCCGCGUGAAGGAAGAAGGCCUUCGGGUUGUAAACUUCUUUUAAGAGGGACGAAGAGUGACGGUACCUCUUGAAUAAGCCACGGCUAACUACGUGCCAGCAGCCGCGGUAAUACGUAGGUGGCGAGCGUUAUCCGGAUUUACUGGGUGUAAAGGGCGCGUAGGCGGGAAUGCAAGUCAGAUGUGAAAUCUAGGGGCUUAACCCCUAAACUGCAUUUGAAACUGUAUUUCUUGAGUGUCGGAGAGGUUGACGGAAUUCCUAGUGUAGCGGUGAAAUGCGUAGAUAUUAGGAGG
rnacentral:rRNA from 1 species